rnacentral:lncRNA from 1 species
GGACAAGCCAACAGGGAAAGUCAAGACAAAUUAAACACUGGGUUAUAUUUAAGGUUUCUCCCUGCAGGAUGGAUAAACCUCACUGAAACCACUGUUCUGAGACUGCAGGCACAGCUAUUGAGGACAGCCUAGAUGCAAGCCAGGUCUCAUUUCCAAAGCACAGAGUGGAUUAAAAGUAAAGUACAACCAAAAAGAAGACCUGGAAAUCUGAAAAUAUGCAGAAUAACAAUCCAGCAAAGAAUGGAUACAUUUCUUGGAGAAUGGGCAGUAGCUGCCAGUAUCUUUGUCUACUUGUUCUGGCCAUUCUCACUUUGGAGUACUCAGGACUCUGGAUCAAGGCUAAAUGGUGGUGGGAAAGGUGGCCUGCUCCAGAAGCAGUGGUGGGAGUCACUGCACCCGAGUACCUGCCUGUGCUGGCUGCUGCUCCACACGCUCCAGGGUAAGUGUAGUUGCCUGUCAGGCUUCUCUGUGCCCUUAGAAGAUGCAGUUUGCAGUGUGCCCAGUGCUGCAGUGCCCUGCUCUGGCACAGCUGGCAGGGGCCCUGCCCUGCCUGACCCAGAGCAGCAGGGCUGGCUCCCACAGCCAGAUGUGGCACAUUGUGGAGACCAAAAUAUCAGCCAAGUCCUUGGUGUCCUUGGUACUCUCCCCAGCACCUUGACCUGUGCUAGCCAGGGAAGCUGUGAUUUGGCCAUGGCUUGGUACUUCAAACUGCAACAAAUUGCUGCCAAUAAUAAUUAAAAAAGGAG